ncrna:unclassified sequences narK RNA
GGCACGCUUGCUGCUAUUCAUCUCCCAACGGUGGCCAACGGCGGUCACCGAACCACGACAAAGGCGUCGC